AGUUUGAUCCUGGCUCAGAUUGAACGCUGGCGGCAGGCUUAACACAUGCAAGUCGAGCGGGGAAGGGUAGCUUGCUACCUGACCUAGCGGCGGACGGGUGAGUAAUGCUUAGGAAUCUGCCUAUUAGUGGGGGACAACAUUCCGAAAGGAAUGCUAAUACCGCAUACGCCCUACGGGGGAAAGCAGGGGAUCUUCGGACCUUGCGCUAAUAGAUGAGCCUAAGUCAGAUUAGCUAGUUGGUGGGGUAAAGGCCUACCAAGGCGACGAUCUGUAGCGGGUCUGAGAGGAUGAUCCGCCACACUGGGACUGAGACACGGCCCAGACUCCUACGGGAGGCAGCAGUGGGGAAUAUUGGACAAUGGGCGAAAGCCUGAUCCAGCCAUGCCGCGUGUGUGAAGAAGGCCUUUUGGUUGUAAAGCACUUUAAGCGAGGAGGAGGCUACCGAGAUUAAUACUCUUGGAUAGUGGACGUUACUCGCAGAAUAAGCACCGGCUAACUCUGUGCCAGCAGCCGCGGUAAUACAGAGGGUGCGAGCGUUAAUCGGAUUUACUGGGCGUAAAGCGUGCGUAGGCGGCUUUUUAAGUCGGAUGUGAAAUCCCUGAGCUUAACUUAGGAAUUGCAUUCGAUACUGGGAAGCUAGAGUAUGGGAGAGGAUGGUAGAAUUCCAGGUGUAGCGGUGAAAUGCGUAGAGAUCUGGAGGAAUACCGAUGGCGAAGGCAGCCAUCUGGCCUAAUACUGACGCUGAGGUACGAAAGCAUGGGGAGCAAACAGGAUUAGAUACCCUGGUAGUCCAUGCCGUAAACGAUGUCUACUAGCCGUUGGGGCCUUUGAGGCUUUAGUGGCGCAGCUAACGCGAUAAGUAGACCGCCUGGGAGGUACGGUCGCAAGACUAAA
rnacentral:rRNA from 1 species